ACCCUAAUUCCAUGCUAAAUCGUGAAUCCGUUUUUUCCCAAUUUCGUGAACCGAUUCGUGAAUCCCUAAUCCGUGAAUCCAUUGAAGAAUCCCUAAUUCAAAAUCCCUCGUUAAAGGGUUUCUGAAUCAUCAAAGGUUUUCCAGAACUAUCGGCUUUGUGGAUGCUGGAAUCAACUUUUCUUUGCAAGUUUUCAAGAAUGCUCAUCUUACUUAGUGGAGGCAGUAAGCAGUUGUUGAAUGCAAGUUAAUUUGGAACCGAAGCACUAUAUCAUCCGGGAUUUUGCAAAGACAACUCUUUCUCAAGAUGACUAAAAGAGGUGGAAAAGCUAAGGUAUUAGCACCAGGAAAACUUCAAGAAGAACGAAAUCGCAUAAUUAACAAGAAGCAUAUCGUUAGGAAACCUGCUCAAACAACAUUGUCUAUGCAGGAUGCA